GAUGAACGCUGGCGGCGUGCCUAAUACAUGCAAGUCGAGCGAACAGAUGAGGAGCUUGCUCCUCUGACGUUAGCGGCGGACGGGUGAGUAACACGUGGAUAACCUACCUAUAAGACUGGGAUAACUUCGGGAAACCGGAGCUAAUACCGGAUAAUAUAUUGAACCGCAUGGUUCAAUAGUGAAAGACGGUUUUGCUGUCACUUAUAGAUGGAUCCGCGCCGCAUUAGCUAGUUGGUAAGGUAACGGCUUACCAAGGCAACGAUGCGUAGCCGACCUGAGAGGGUGAUCGGCCACACUGGAACUGAGACACGGUCCAGACUCCUACGGGAGGCAGCAGUAGGGAAUCUUCCGCAAGGGGCGAAAGCCUGACGGAGCAACGCCGCGUGGGUGAUGAAGGUCUUCGGAUCGUAAAACUCUGUUAUUAGGGAAGAACAAAUGUGUAAGUAACUAUGCACGUCUGGACGGUACCAAAUCAGAAAGCCACGGCUAACUACGU
rnacentral:rRNA from 1 species